ACGGAAACAUGUGCUUGAAGGCAUUUGAAUCAGCAAAAUAUGGGGCGGCUUAGUCGCCUAAAUGUCUUAGUUGUAUGCGCCAUAUUCUGUGCUUUGUCAACGUUGGAAAAUGCUCCGACAUCCGCACUCGCAGGAAGGGGACGCUAUCCUCAAGGGAUAGUUAAUGAGGGAUAUACUUCAGGUGGAGAGACAGGAGCACGUAUGGGUGCAGGAAUACAUGGGACACAACAAAGAACACGAUCUCCAUCUCGAACACACCCUCCGUCUCGGCCAGAAUCUCCAUCUCGAUCGCAAUCUCAAUCUCGACCAGGACGACCACAUAAACCUACACUUAGUCAAAGAAUAAAUAAGAAGAUAUAUAAAAAGAAAAAAGAAUGGCAGAAUAUUCCAUUUCAACUUCGCAGGAGAUCAUAACAAAAGCAACUUUUACAACUGGAUAUUUGUACAUUAACCUGAAAUAUCUAUGGACUCAUCACCGGAAAAAAAAAAAAAAAAACCCGACACGUCCUUCAAGCAAAAUUAAACGACCUUCUUGCUAUGGUGC
rnacentral:misc_RNA from 1 species